rnacentral:rRNA from 1 species
CCUACGGGAGGCAGCAGUGAGGAAUAUUGGUCAAUGGGCGAGAGCCUGAACCAGCCAAGUCGCGUGAAGGAUGAAGGAACUAUGGUUUGUACACUUCUUUUAUAUGGGAACAAUGUGCAGAACGUGUUCCUUUUUGUAUGUACCAUAAGAAUAAGCAUCGGCUAACUCCGUGCCAGCAGCAGCGGUAAUGCGGAGGAUGCGAGCGUUAUCCGGAUUUAUUGGGUUUAAAGGGUGCGUAGGUGGUUAAUUAAGUCAGCGGUGAAAGUUUGUGGCUCAAACAUAAAAAUGCCGGUGAAACUGGGUGACUUGAGUAUAGUUGAGGUAGGCGGAAUACGUGGUGUAGCGGUGAAAUGCAUAGAUAUCACGCAGAACUCCGAUUGCGAAGGCAGCUUACUAAACUAUAACUGACGCUGAAGCACGAAAGCGUGGGGAUCAAACAGGAUUAGAUACCCCAGUAGUC